GUUUUCAUUCAACUUUGAUCGAAAUCUUUCGGUGUAAUAGGCCGAAGUAUGACUAUCUCUCUCUUAAAGAAAUGUUCCAACUAGCCUGCACACUGUACAAUAAUGCUAUCCAUUCGUCUAUCAAUUUGAAACCACGUGAAGCAUUUUUUGGAGUCAAAGACGGAGAGGAGAGACCUCUCGACCAAAUUGAGUUAAUAAGAGUCCGUAAUGAAUUUUAUGAUAAAAUUACUGCCACUAACAAAGAAACACAGGUUAAACAGCACAUGUAUCACAAUGCUACAAGAGAAGACCCACCAGUUCUCGAAGAAGAUCAACCUAUUCUCGUUAAGUGCCAAGGUAUCAAAUCGAAACGGAGGGAUCGAUUCGAACUGAAAAUUGUAGAUAACGAUGGACACCAAACGCUCCACGACCAGGACGGGAAAAAGAUUCAUAAAUCAAACCUACACCGGAUUAGGAAUUAAUAUUCUCUAUUCUUCUUUUCAGACAUUGAAACCGCAAACCAGUUACGAUAUACCGUUCUCACUCUAUAUCAUACAACUGGCUAACAUAAAAGAUGAAAAGAUAUCACACAGAUCAUCUCACUUCAAUGGUAGACAAACCUAACUCUCUGGAACGGAAUAAUAAUAAUAAAAAAAAAAUGUUUGUGCCCUAUAAUAAAACCUUCUCCUCUUACCAUUUUAGGUUAAAAAGUAAACUUUCCAUUGGCAGCUUGCUACCCUACGUCUAAGUACUUUUACACGUCUGUUACAUCGAGCCUAAUACAACUCUCACCUUCAGGUACCUUUGAAUGCCUAGAUAUAGAAAAAAAAGUAAAUUACCAUUGUAUGUAGAUUUAAUAAACAAAACGAAUGACUAACUCCAACUAACACUAAUUAUAAUAUUGAAAGCAAAUUUAUGAUCGUAUCCUUUAAUUUAAUCAAUCAAAAUUAGACGCUCACGAACGAAAGCAAUUAUACGUUUUAAAUUACAGGAAAAUGCUACGAAGCUUACUGAAAACAUGGUUCCUCUUGUCGAUUCCAGUAUACUGUAGUUCAGAAUUAGAUAUUGUUAACCUUCAUAAUAACCCAAUCGUUCUUAUCAAACAAAACAACUGUAAAUUACAAACCGGAACCAUUAAAAUUAUUCAUCCAAUCAAUCUACAUCAAAUCGAAGAGAGCAUAGAACUACUGACUACAAAAUUUUAUACACAACUAACCCCAACUAACCCAAUGAACGAGGUUGUUAAAUAUCGGAUCAAGAAGCUGUAUUCAUCCCUCUACGCGUUGAAACCGCAACAAGCGCAUCGACACAAGAGAUGGGACUCAUUAGGCGCUGCGUGGAAGUGGAUUGCCGGAUCGCCCGAUGCACAAGAUCUACAGAUCAUUAACUCUACAAUGAAUGAUAUCAUCGAUCAAAAUAACCAGCAAUACAGAGUUAACGAAAACAUCAACAACCGGAUUUCGAAACUAACGCAAGCAAUCAAUCAAAUAGCCAGCGCUCUAAACCCCCAGAAUGGAUUGGACGUUAUGCAAGCAAUUACCACAAUGUUGAACAUGGACGUCAUUAAUGAACUCCUCGACAAUAUCCAGGAAGCAAUCACCCUCAGCAGAAUUUCCGUUAUUAACAACAAAAUUUUAUCAACACGAGAAAUAAACGUGAUCAAAACCGCUCUUCAAGACCAAGGAGUGAAGAUAAAUUUUCCGGACGAAGCCCUACAGUUUGUUACUCCAAAAAUUGCCGUGAAAGAAGGAGACUUGUUGUACAUACUCCAUGUUCCAGAAUUGGAAAACGCAACAUCUACAAUUGUGAGGAUAUACCCGCUGAUCGUAAAUAAUCAAAUGAUAAAAUCGUACCCAAGCCACAUUAUACGGCGUGGGCCAAAACUUUUCGAAACAGAUAAGCCCGAAGACUUCGUACAGAGAUCAUUCCACACUAAAGAAUUCGAAGAUAAAUGUAUUAGACCACUAAUACUGGGAAAACAAUCACAUUGUACCUCAGUUCACAAAAAUGAAACUACCCAACAGCUAAUAAACGAAAACACCUUAUUAAUUUCAAACGCUAAAAAUCACACACUAGAAUCCAAUUGUGGACCCGAUAAUAGAACCAUCACUGGCAAUUUCAUCAUCAAGUUCGCGAACUGUACGAUUAAAUUCAAUAACCAUAAAUUUCAUAAUUCGGAAACCAUGGUGGAUACAGAAAUCCUGCAUGGAGCAUUCCACAAUAUUUUGAUCAAUUGGACCAUUCAAAACCAACCUAAUAUAAAGGAAAUCCACGACACAGCCAUCAACAAUAGAAGGAAGUUAGACCACGUUUAUUUGCAACAAAGUAGCCUUCGCUUCAAUCUAUGGAUAACGUUUGGAGGAAUAUCUCUUUCGACAGCGAUUUGCUUCAUUAUAAUAAUCCUCAUUCUGAGAAACAUCAAUCCUUGCCUAAUGUUCAAUUUUAGGAAAAAGCAGCAACCAAAUGUCGACCCGGGACGGCUCGAACUUGAGGAGGGGGUAGUUACGAACGCGAUUGAGAAGCUAAAAGCCCAACAACAACAAAUCGCAGCAACCCUGGCUGCGAUGGAAGUUUAACAACAACAAUAACAACAACAACAACGUGCUACGAUUAUUCGCACUCCGCGAGUUGUAUCGAGAGCAACAGAACUCAGCGUACUACCUAUCGAUGCGAUAGCACCGAGAGUGCCGAUUUAGCAGAAUGGGCAUAAUGACCCUUGGACAGCUACG